GUCGAUCGAACAGGAAGCAGGACAAGAGGGGAAACCCUAGUAUCAAGAAAAUUAAGCAAUUGAACUUGAAUCAAUGGAGAAAUCUAAUGCAUGAACCCUUAAAUGCGAGUAGCUAACCUCAAUUUCUAAAGUGGCGUGAAGGAAGAAGGUUCAAGUACUAAGAAAUCGGAAGGCUCACAAGAUCGAGGUAAAUCCUCAAUUUAGGCGACUUGGAGAAUCGGAGCAAGCACGUGUUCAUGUUAUGUCAUACCAAGCGCUUCCGCUAGCUUGUUCUAAUGUUUUUGGUCCAAUACUUGUUUAUUUUGCAUAACCUUGUUAGUAGUCAUACUUUUUCUAAAACAUGUUGUCUUGGUUUUUGGUAGUAUUUUGUCGAACGAAUCGUAGAAUUGUAUUUAGAUUGUUUAUGGUAAAAACAGGGGUAUAUCCGUUU